rnacentral:misc_RNA from 1 species
CAAGUGAUACAAGGCUACCUCAACCAUGAUGUAUUAAUGCAAAAGGUGUGUAGAUCUGUAAUUUAUCAGUCUUAUUGAUUUUGGUAUGGUAAUUGGCUACAAGAGAAGGACUAGGCCGAAGUUUACUAAAUGAAUGAAUUUGUGUUUUAACUGAGCUUCUACUCUGAUUCUGCUGUUUGGUAUACCAUUGUGGUAAAAGUGACCGUAUUUCAGCAAGAUAAAAAGCUAAAAGCAGAAUAUGUGCAUAAAAUAGUAAGGUGUGAGUAGAUGCCUCUAGUAUUAACUCUAUGGCGAGCCUACAGUUGUAAUAAAGCCGAUAUAACUAAAAGCGAAAAACUGAUGAAAUCCACUGUAUCCAGUUCUCUAUUAAAUCAAUGGAAUGAAUUUGACCUUGAUUGUAACUGGUUGGACAGAAUCUGGAGAGAAAUGAGUGGAGAGGAUUCUGUGGAUUGGGAAAGGGGAAUAAUCGUGAGUCAAUGAAGCGUGAAACACUCUAGCUUCUAUUGUUCUCAGAAUUGUCUCUUCGGUGGGGCUUUGAUAAACUAGUGAGCCACUGAAUCACCAUUAAUAGUAGCCUUGUUUAAUUUUAUUACAUGUACAAGUAGAUAGAUAAGCAGCAAGAUGGCUAGAUCACACUAAUAUAAUGGUGGUUUAUAAGCACACUUUUUGUUUCUCAUGUUCUGUAUAAUUUCUGCAUCUUUAUCAGGAUAAAUGAGCAUAAG